rnacentral:rRNA from 1 species
GACGAACGCUGGCGGCGUGCUUAACACAUGCAAGUCGAGCGGUAAGGCCCUUUCGGGGUACGACGAGCGGCGAACGGGUAGGAGUAACACGUGGGUGACCUCGCCCUCCAGCUCUGGGAGUAAGCCUGGGAAACCGGGGUACUAAUAACCGGAUAUGACUCCAUGACGCAUGUUGUGGGGUGGAAAGCCUUGUGCGGCUGAGGAUGGGCCCGCGG